UUGAAAUAAACCUGAUGGGUUGUUGCUGGUUCUCUAGGGAGCAUGUGCACACCUUGUCAUCUUUAUAUCUCCACCUGUGCACCUUUUGUAGACCUUUCAGGUCUAUGUUGCUUCAUUUACCCCAACUGUAUGUCAUUAGAAUGUUGUGCCUAUAUAACAUAUA
rnacentral:misc_RNA from 1 species